GCCCCCGUAGCCCAGUGGUAGAGCACUCCACUUAUUCUUAUCGAGUAUUCUUAGGAGAGGACCGCGGUUCGAAUCCGCGCGGGGGCG
rnacentral:tRNA from 1 species